rnacentral:rRNA from 1 species
GAUCAUGGCUCAGGAUGAACGCUGGCGGCGUGCUUAACACAUGCAAGUCGAACGGAGUUUAGAGAGCUUGCUCUUUAAACUUAGUGGCGGACGGGUGAGUGACGCGUGGGUAACCUGCCUUUCACUGGGGGAUAACAGUUAGAAAUGACUGCUAAUACCGCAUAAGCGCACAGGACGGCAUCGUCUAGUGUGAAAAACUCCGGUGGUGGAAGAUGGACCCGCGUCUGAUUAGCCAGUUGGCAGGGUAACGGCCUACCAAAGCGACGAUCAGUAGCCGGCCUGAGAGGGUGAACGGCCACAUUGGGACUGAGACACGGCCCAAACUCCUACGGGAGGCAGCAGUGGGGAAUAUUGCACAAUGGGGGAAACCCUGAUGCCAGCGACGCCGCGUGAGUGAAGAAGUAUUUCGGUAUGUAAAGCUCUAUCAGCAGGGAAGAAAAUGACGGUACCUGACUAAGAAGCCCCGGCUAACUACGUGCCAGCAGCGGC